CAUUAAAUGACCGAAAUGUAAGUAUUGAUCUUUUAAAUCAAUCAUAAUAGAUUAACCACUAUUUUUAAUGG
rnacentral:tRNA from 1 species